UAAUGUUGGGUAGGGUGGUAGCCAAUGAACCGCGUGUACACUAUGAACCAUAGUACCUACCGGCCAUACCUAACGUUGCUAGCUCGCGCAAAAAUUAUGUCGAGACUCCCUUGCCACGUCAAGAAGUUUGGUCUAUUCGCCGUGGGUCUGUCGCGAUAUACUCACCUGUGAGCCGCGUCUUAGUCUUCUACUCAAGCAAAAACGACAAAAAAAGCAUGGGGCGAAACACGGUAGAGAGGAAAGCACGUAAAAAAGGGUAUCACACCGCGGAAGCUACACAAAGAGGUAUAGAAAAAACACUUGUCGGGAUUAAGCAUUCGAAAAGCAGCAAAAACUGCAACCUUCUCUAUCCAGUAUUGCGACAGACGAAGUGUUUGUGCGAAGAUAUGUCACAAACAAAGUACCUACAGGAACAAUCCGUCUUGUAGACUAGAGCCCCAUUAUGAUGCAAGUAAAUUUCUUACUGCCCAACAUGAAGACAGCAUAAAGAAAUGUUGAUUGUUACAAUUUGUGAUUUGGACAAUAAAAAAACAUAAGUCUGAAUGUGAUAAAAACACGUCGACUUUAUAAUGUUAAGAGCAUUUUAAUUAAUAUACAAGUACAA
rnacentral:lncRNA from 1 species